AGGCAGACGUGCUCCAUCGUAGGCCGCAUCAUCACUUACCAUCAGGUGAGAUAGCGGCCAAACUUCGACCCAUCAAAUGUAAAAAAAGACGGCUGCCUCCACGACGCCUUCUACGAGAAGUUGAGCGGGAUCGCUAAAGGGUCGAUCCCUUUCGCGAUCCCGCUCAGUAGCCUUCAUCCGGGAGGCGAGGAUGUACCUCGUCGUACCCUAACGCCGCUUCUGCCUAAUUAGGUAAUGGUAAAUGUAUCGAUUAUGAUGUCACAUUGUGUAAGACACGAAAAAUAAGUUUUGGCCUCUAAUUAAAACUAAUCACUAAUGAUCGAUUUAGUUAUAUUACUUAUAAAUAGAUAUUGCGCACUUUUUAAUUAUUACCUAGAUAUUGUGCACUUUUUUAAUUUGUACCUACUUAGUAGUUUCCUAAAUCAUGGGAAAGGGACAUUUUAUUAAAUAUUUUUAAGAUUAUUAUAGAUUUGAGGAAUUGGUAGAAAUUAUCGUAUCAAGAAUCGUUGAGUCGGAAAAUAAAUUGUUGUUUGUUUCUUUUUAAAAAACAUGCAAGUACCUACCUGUUGACCAAUUACAAAAAUUUAAUAGGUAUAAAUAAAUAAUCAGGUAGGUAGGUACUAUAUUUCCUCCUGGGGUAUGGUCCGAGUGAAAUUUAAAAUAUUUCGCUUGGAUUAGCUCCGAUCGGAAGAAAAUUGAGGAAAUAUUACAAUUACUCAUUGAAGAGUAUUUUUAUUAAUUGGGUCAGUAUUUCAACACCUUUUUGUAAUUAGGUACCUACUUACCUAAAUACCUACAUAAUGUUUGGGACUCACUCCGACUCAAAGGGUCUAUAGAUGCUGAUGAUGACUAUGAUCAUUGGUCACAAAAAUUGUUAAUUUUUUAUAUUAAUUGACUACAAAUUGUGUACCUAAACAAUUCCUAAGAUAUUUUAAUUAGUAUAAGUAUGAUGUAUCUAGACCCUGCCUAGGUAUUAGAUCCCUAUAUUCAAUUAUUAUUUUGUUUUAUUAUUGUUAAUUCUUAUUAUACUUGAUUACAAUGUACGUAACUAGGCAUUAUAACAGCCUGUAUUCAGUAGACUUAAAAAAUAAAGACUACAAUGAUUAUUUUGUUUCUUUUUCAUUUAGAUGAUAUGAUUAUUAACAUAUCAUAUAGAUAGUUGGUAGGCAACAACUGCGUUUCUCUCGAAACUGUCUGCCUCGCACAGCUAGACUGUGGAAUGAGCUAUCGUCGGCGGUAUUUCCGAACCGAUACUACCUUUAAACCUGCAAGAAAAGAGAUAUUCCUUUUUAAAAGGCCGGCAACGCACCUGUGACUCCUUUGGUAGUUGCGAGUGUCCUUGAGUGGAACUCAUCGCUUACCGUCAGGUGAACCGAGUAAGUAGUCAACUCGGACCACAUACCUACGGCCCAUUUGGGACGAGUUGCAGAAAAUAAAAUAAAAUAAUAUUUUUAGUGGUCAACUCGUCCCACGUCACUACCACAAUGAGAUAAGGUACAGUUAGUAGCAAAAGGGUUAGUGUGGAAAUAAUGAAGUUCUAUUACUUUGUUGAAAAAAAAAGAUUUUCCAGGAACUUCAUUCUAUCUAUGUUAUCAUUUACUUCAUAAGUGACCGCCAUGACCAUUGUUUAAGCCACACAUGUUUACUAUUCUUAGUAAUUUUGGUUAACACAUGAAUUUGUGCGAUUGCUAAAAAAAAUUAGGUAAUAAAUUAUUUAACCGACACUAAAAAAAGAGGUUCUUACUUCGUCAGGAUUUUUUAAUAUGAAAUAAUCGAAAAAAAAUAUUUUUAAUCUUGUGUUGCUAACUGUACCAAACAUUGACAAAGUUUAAAAAUCCAUACAAAAAAAAUAGUGGGACGAGUUGACCACUAAAAACUUAAUUUAUUUUUAAUUUCCCCAACUCGUCCCAAAUGGGCCGUAAGUAUGUGGUCCGAGUUGACUACUUACUCGGUGAACCGCCUGCUCGUUUACCUCCUAUCCCAUAAAAAAAAACAUUGUCUAGUUCUGAAAACAGUACCCUUAGUACGAGUUUGCUUUACGUUUAAUUUCAUCCAAACGAGAGCGUUCGGCGCUCUGAUUGGUUGUUUUUUUGGAGCCGGCCAAUCUGACGGUCUAAAGAUUGAUGGUGAUUAUACAAUUUUAUUAUAAACUAGUUUUGUGAUGAAACUUAAUUAAAUAGUGACAGAGCAUUGAACAAUUUGUUACCCAAAUGGUACCUAGUUAGGUAAGUACCUCAUUUAUAAUAAUUAGUACUUAACUAUCUAAUUAACUUUCCGUCAUUAAGGUUCCUAUACGCAUACCUAUAUAAUACCGUUUUCUAAACGCUACUAUAACAGUUGUUGAACGGAGUCCCUGAGGAUCUAAUACCAUAUCUACUUAUUUCAUUGGAACAUUAACAGUUUCAUUAUGGAAAAAUCUACGAAAAAUGAUGGUAAGUAAACUUAAAGUUGUGGAUACAUUAUUAUCUAAGCCCGAUUGUACCUAUUAAUAUUAUUUGCCUACCGACAGAUUUAUUUUUGCUUGAUUUAUUCUUGUUUGUGUAAUAUUAAUAAAUUGUAAGCUUAGUGCAGAAACUCAUUAUAAAUUGCAAAAUAUCACUAGCUUUUAACACAUUCUACCAAAUAUUUUAUUCCUUUUCAGGAGUAACUCGUCAGCCAUCAGGAAUUAAGCGGGUGUUCUACAAACCUAGUUAUAGAUCGUUUCCUGAAUGCCUGUGCAUGGCGCCACUGAGGGCACCGAUUUACCAGUGCGAGUCUGGGCACAACAUGUGCAGUAAGUGCACAGAGCAGACACAGGUGUGCCCAAUCUGCCGAAAACACACCGGGAAAAUGAGGAACUGGCAGUUGGAGGAGAUAAUUGAACAUUGUCGGUAGGUAACUUAAAAUUCUAUUUUUUUUUUCAUGUCCCCAAAGCACUUUACGUACCGUAACAUCGGGUUUCUUUCACCCUAGAGGGUAACUUUGACCCAAACUUUUAGACCAAUGAAAAACGAAUAUACGUUUUGUUCUGGAUUCCUAUUGGUUAUAGAAUGUGGGUCAAAGUUACCUCUUAGGGUCAAAGAAACCCGAUGUUACCGUAGGUACCUAAUUAAAUUUUAGUAAAUACAUUUUUUUUAUCAAUUUGAUUAUAGAACUGCUGAACUUUAGUUACCUAUUAAUUUUCAAUAAUUUAUUUAUUGCCAUAUUGUAUUUUUUAAGCUACUUAUUAGAUAAUAACUGGGUAUAUAGGUACCAUGGAUGGAUGUAUAGGGAUACCAACCUACGUAGUACAUGGGUACCUAAAUAAGAGUUUUGCACACGUGCUCCAGUUCUAAAGUAAAUUUUCAUUUCAGCCAAAGACGAAGUUAAACAAAGAAGGAAACUAAUGAAUUACGUACUUCGUUCUAAUACUAGUGAAGUGACACACGAGAGUUAUAAUCGAAUUCGGAAAAUGUGACUGGACACCACUGCUAGACAGGCAAACUUGGGGACAUGAUAUAACACUUCAAGGAUAGUCAUGCAGAGAACUGCGGCGCCACUACCACUACGGACCGGUGGAGUGUGGAGCUUACUGACGUCAAUACUAUUUCCUAUUGAAUCAUUUGCUAUACCUAAUGUUAUGAAUAUAAUUAAAAAAAUAAAUAAAAGCAUACUUUUUUAUUCCAUAAAUGGACAAGAAACAGGCGGUAUGAAUAUUAUUCUCAUUUAUCGUCAUUCAUGAUAAAGCCCGUAAUAUUUUUUAAUCCAAAACUAAGAAAUAUUUUUUUCAACCACAGACAAUAUCGGCAGAAAUAUUAAUAUCUCCUUUAUGACCGAAUUUAGUACUCUGGAUAGAUGAAGUUUUUGACAGAAACUCCACAAAACUUAUCCAAAGAUAUAAUCAAGAUUUAAUUUUAAUUUCUGAUAUUAUAGUGGUGUCAA